AUUGAACGCUGGCGGCAGGCCUAACACAUGCAAGUCGAACGGAGCGGCGGACGGGUGCGUAAUGCCUAGGAAUCUGCCUGGUACUGGGGGAUAACGUCCAGAAACGGACACUAAUACCGCAUACUAUUAGAUGAGACUAGGCGGGAUUAGCUCUUUGGUGGGGUAAGGGCCUACCAAGCCGACGGUCCGUAACUGGUCUGAGAGGAUGAUCAGCCACACUGGAACUGAGACACGGUCCAGACUCCUACGGGAGGCAGCAGUGGGGAAUAUUGGACAAUGGGCGAAAGCCUGAUCCAGCCAUGCCGCGUGUGUGAAGAAGGUCUUCGGAUUGUAAAGAACUUUCAGUUGGGAGGCGUUACCAACAGAAUAAGCACCGGCUAACUUCGUGCCAGCAGCCGCGGUAAUAC
rnacentral:rRNA from 1 species